ensembl:lncRNA
UACCUACUGUGGGCUUUGGUGGGGCACCAUCCAAGGAAAGCUUAUUGGAAAUGAAGCCAAAGCAAAGGAAAUGACCAAGAGAUGAAGGGAGGAUCGUGAUCUUACUCUUUGAGCCUCUGGAUCAGUCCAUACCUGAAGCUGGAACUGUCGGUGUGAUUGCAAUCCAGUGGACCUGUGACUUCUCUUUUCGAUGCCUCUUCCCUAUGGUUGUAAAAUAGUUACCAGCUGCUCCUGGCUUCUGUCUCAUCCUCCCAACAACCUCAGCAGGGAGAUACCACUUCGCUAGAUGAUCCAACAAAACUUUAGUGAUUGUCAAGGGAAUGAGAAGGCAAGGCACAGAUGGGAGAAAACAUUUGCAAAUGACGUACCUGAUGAAACACUGUUUUCCAAAAUAGACAAAGAACUCUUAAAACUCCACAAUAAGAAAGCCUACAAUCCACAGAAUGGGCAAAGGAUCUGAACACAUUCCUCAUCAAAGAAGAUAGUCAAAUGGCAAUGUCAUCAGGGAAAUGCAAACUCAAACUUUACAGGAUUUCCUGACCAGGGAUGGAGCUUGUGUCCCCUGUAGUGGAAGUUUGGAGUCCUAACCACUGGACUGCCAGGGAAGUAUUUCUUUUUAUGGCACUGAUUAUAAUCCCUAAUUAUCUUGCUUCUGUGUUCAACUUUUCUUUCCUGCCCCUGCCCCAUCACUAGAUUAGGCUCCCUGAGAGCAGGGAGUGUGCCCCCUCUCUCCCUCCCUCCCUCCUCCCCUCCCUCCCCCUCCCCACUGGGGCUCACCAUUCUAUUCCCAGGGCUCAGCAGAGUGCCUGGUGGAUGGCAGUUAUCUUCACAAAUAUUUGUGGAAUGAAUGGAUCUUGUAU